AACGAACGCUGGCGGCAUGCCUAACACAUGCAAGUCGAACGAAGCCUUCGGGCUUAGUGGCGCACGGGUGCGUAACGCGUGGGAAUCUGCCCUUGGGUUCGGAAUAACAGUUAGAAAUGACUGCUAAUACCGAAUGAUGUCUUCGGACCAAAGAUUUAUCGCCCAAGGAUGAGCCCGCGUCGGAUUAGCUAGUUGGUGAGGUAAAGGCUCACCAAGGCGACGAUCCGUAGCUGGUCUGAGAGGAUGAUCAGCCACACUGGGACUGAGACACGGCCCAGACUCCUACGGGAGGCAGCAGUGGGGAAUAUUGCUCAAUGGGCGCAAGCCUGAAGCAGCGACGCCGCGUGGAUGAAGAAGGUUUUCGGACUGUAAAAUCCUUUUCUGUGUGACGAGAGUGGACGGUAGCACAGGAAUAAGUCUACGGCUAACUACGUGCCAGCAGCCGCGGUAAU
rnacentral:rRNA from 1 species